UACGUAGGGUGCAAGCGUUGUCCGGAAUUAUUGGGCGUAAAGAGCUCGUAGGCGGUCUGUUGCGUCGGCUGUGAAAACCCGGGGCUCAACUCCGGGCCUGCAGCCGAUACGGGCAGACUAGAGUUCGGCAGGGGAGACUGGAAUUCCUGGUGUAGCGGUGAAAUGCGCAGAUAUCAGGAGGAACACCGGUGGCUAAGGCGGGUCUCUGGACAGGUACUGACGCUGAGACGCGAAAGCGUGGGUAGCAAACAGG
rnacentral:rRNA from 1 species